rnacentral:rRNA from 1 species
AGUGAACGCUGGCGGUAGGCCUAACACAUGCAAGUCGAACGGCAGCACAGUAAGAGCUUGCUCUUACGGGUGGCGAGUGGCGGACGGGUGAGGAAUACAUCGGAAUCUACUUUUUCGUGGGGGAUAACGUAGGGAAACUUACGCUAAUACCGCAUACGACCUACGGGUGAAAGCAGGGGAUCUUCGGACCUUGCGCGAUUGAAUGAGCCGAUGUCGGAUUAGCUAGUUGGCGGGGUAAAGGCCCACCAAGGCGACGAUCCGUAGCUGGUCUGAGAGGAUGAUCAGCCACACUGGAACUGGGACACGGUCCAGACUCCUACGGGGGGCAGCAGUGGGGAAUAUUGGACAAUGGGCGCAAGCCUGAUCCAGCCAUACCGCGUGGGUGAAGAAGGCCUUCGGGUUGUAAAGCCCUUUUGUUGGGAAAGAAAAGCAGCAGGUUAAUACCCCGCUGUUCUGACGGUACCCAAAGAAUAAGCACCGGCUAACUUCGUG